rnacentral:rRNA from 1 species
CACGUAGGGCGCAAGCGUUGUCCGGAAUUAUUGGGCGUAAAGAGCUCGUAGGUGGUCUGUUGCGUCCGCUGUGAAAACUCGGGGCUUAACCCCGAGCCUGCAGUGGAUACGGGCAGACUAGAGGUAGGUAGGGGAGAAUGGAAUUCCUGGUGUAGCGGUGGAAUGCGCAGAUAUCAGGAAGAACACCCGCGGCGAAGGCGGCUCUCUGGAACGCAACUGACGCUGAGACGCGAAAGCGUGGGGAGCAAACAGG